UAGGGAAUCUUCCACAAUGGACGCAAGUCUGAUGGAGCAACGCCGCGUGAGUGAAGAAGGUUUUCGGACCGUAAAGCUCUGUUGUUGGUGAAGAAGGAUAGAGGUAGUAACUGGCCCUUUAUUUGACGGUAAUCAACCAGAAAGUCACGGCUAACUACGUGCCAGCAGCCGCGGUAAUACGUAGGUGGCAAGCGUUGUCCGGAUUUAUUGGGCGUAAAGCGAGCGCAGGCGGAAGAAUAAGUCUGAUGUGAAAGCCCUCGGCUUAACCGAGGAAUUGCAUCGGAAAC
rnacentral:rRNA from 1 species